AUGACACUUCUCUGGCUUCCAUCUGAAUCUUCUGAUUACGAAGAAGUUGAUUCUGAUGCAAAAUCAUCUAAUUUCCUUUAUCUUCUUGAUUUCCUACUCUUACAAGUUCUAACUCUGAAUGUUCUGUGUGUUUGUUCCCUCCCGCAACUCAUCUGGAAUGUAAGCUUUCAAUUAAUCUAUUUGUAA